UACGUAGGUGGCAAGCGUUGUCCGGAUUUACUGGGCGUAAAGAGCGCGCAGGCGGUCGUUCAAGUCGCGUGUGAAAGCCCCCGGCUCAACUGGGGAGGGUCACGCGAUACUGAUCGACUCGAAGGCAGGAGAGGGUAGUGGAAUUCCCGGUGUAGUGGUGAAAUGCGUAGAUAUCGGGAGGAACACCAGUGGCGAAGGCGGCAUCCUGGACCAUUACUGACGCUGAGGCGCGAAAGCUAGGGGAGCAAACGGG
rnacentral:rRNA from 1 species